rnacentral:rRNA from 1 species
CGCGUAGGCGGAUGUUACAGUCAGGCGUGAAAUUCCUGGGCUCAACCUGGGGGCUGCGUUUGAUACGUGAUGUCUGGAGUUCGGAAGAGGGUCGUGGAAUUCCCAGUGUAGAGGUGAAAUUCGUAGAUAUUGGGAAGAACACCGGUGGCGAAGGCGGCGACCUGGUCCGAUACUGACGCUGAGGCGCGAAAGCGUGGGGAGCAAACAGGAUUAGAUACCCUGGUAGUCCACGCUGUAAACGAUGUGCGCUGGAUGUUGGGUGACAUAGUCAUUCAGUGUCGUAGCUAACGCGAUAAGCGCACCGCCUGGGGAGUACGGCCGCAAGGUUGAAA